UACGUAGGGUGCGAGCGUUAUUCGGAAUUACUGGGCGUAAAGCGUGCGCAGGCGGUUUUUUAAGUCGGCUGUGAAAACCCCGGGCUUAACCUGGGAAUGGCAUUUGGGACUGCAAGGCUUGAGUGCGGCAGAGGAGACUGGAAUUCCUGGUGUAGCAGUGAAAUGCGUAGAUAUCAGGAGGAAUACCGAUGGCGAAGGCAGGUCUCUGGGCUGACACUGACGCUCAGGCACGAAAGCGUGGGGAGCAAACAGG
rnacentral:rRNA from 1 species